UAGGAAUUGAUUUGUAAACGUUUGGUUUGGAGGUGGAAAUAGUAUCAGCCAUUCUCAUGAUUUCCUCAACUAAAUCAUUUCUCACGUCCAUGGCUGCGACGAACUUAAUCCUGAUUCUACUUAUGCUGAUGAUUUCCUCUACUGCUUUGUCUGGUGAAGAUUACAAUCCCCCUCCAGCUCAUGAUGACCCUUACCCGCGUGAGAAAGCAGGAACGAAACGGCCGGCGAGCAAUGGCGAUCCAAGUACG